rnacentral:rRNA from 1 species
CCUACGGGAGGCAGCAGUGAGGAAUAUUGGUCAAUGGCCGGAAGGCUGAACCAGCCAAGCCGCGUGAAGGACGAAGGUGCCAAGCAUUGUAAACUUCUUUUGUCAAGGGACAAAAUCAGGCUCGAGAGCCUGACCGAGGGUACUUUAAGAAAAAGCAUCGGCUAACUCCGUGCCAGCAGCCGCGGUAAUACGGAGGAUGCGAGCGUUAUACGGAUUGAUUGGGUUUAACGGGUGCGUAGGCGGACUGUUAAGUCAGCGGUAAAAGCCCGGGGUGCAACCCCGGCGAGCCGUUGAAACUGGCGGUCUUGAGAUGUCGAGAGGAAUGCGGAAUGCGCAGUGUAGCGGUGAAAUGCUUAGAGAUUGCGCAGAACUCCGAUUGCGAAGGCAGCAUACCGGCGGCGAUCUGACGCUGAGGCACGAAAGCGUGGGUAUCGAACAGGAGUAGAUACCCCUGUAGUC